AUGCCUAAAAAAGCAUCCUGAAGCAGGAAUACUUUUCCAUGCACACAUUUAACCAGAAUUGUGUGUUAACGGUGCUGUGAACAACUUAUCUUAAUGGGCAUAAAAAUGCUUCUUUGACGGAGUCAGCGGCAAGCCUAACAAUAGGUGUGGUACAGACCUCAAGACAAUUCCCACUGCUGACAUUAUAUUGUUUACAAGGAUACAUAUCUGUCUCCACGCAUUUAUGCAGCAAUAGCUCUGCCUGAGCUUGUCAAGAAGGAGGUUUUUAAUGAAUGUUUUGGUUGUUGAUAUUGCAGUCAUGAUGUGUAAUUAAAUCUAAUUAAAACUACUGGGGUGUGUGCUCAUAUAGGUUUCUUCCUCUUUUUUUUUUUUCUUUUCCAGACUGAAAGUUUGUCAGUUUUAGAAUCUUCUGAAAAUAACACAUCAGAGCUUCAGAGCUCUGAGGAAAACACCUCCAACCAGAGUUCAGAAUCUGAAUCAGUAGAAUCCACUUCAGAGGACAAGGUGUGUUGGUCAAUCAUUCAUAUUCACUGUCAUCCAUUCCCUCAAUGUUGUCUAGGUUUCAUACAUUUAGAGUUAAAAGAAAAGUGCAUACCUCAAAUCUUGGUAAAUGAG